rnacentral:lncRNA from 7 species
UUUUUUUUUUUUUUUUUUUAAAGAUUCAUCUAAUUUGGUGUAGUGGCAAGGAUCUUUAAAAAAUGGCAAUAUCCUGUAAAGGAGAUUUUGCCCCUGGAACAUUGUGUUGUGUCCUAUGGACUAAUGAGUUGGCCCGACGAGGGGUGGAAGGGAGAUGUGGAGGAAGGAAGGUUUGUCUGGACCGGUGAUGAGUUCCACAGGGUAUCUGAACCAGGAUAUUGUGAGAACUGUUUACUGUUGUUUUUAAUUUCCUACCACAUUGAUUUGAAGAUUUGCCUAUCAGUGUGGCCCUGGCUGAUAAGGAGGGCGUCACAAGUGGUAGAAGAUGCUGGCGUCAUUAUCUUCCAUCAGAUGUCUUUAGACAAGGGCAGAUUCACUUAGUGCAAGGUCCAGCAGAGCAGCAGUCAAAGCAGACAGAGAUGAGCUCUGGGUGCUGGUGAAGGUCUCUCUUCCCCGAGCUCCUUGGUUAAGGAAGAUGGAUGCCUUCAGUAAAGGGAGAGUUUGGUCCCUGGAGUAUUGUGUUGUGUCCUAUGGAAUAAUGAUUUAACACGAGAGGAGAGAUGGAGGAAGGCUUUUCUGGAUCAGUGAGGAGAACUUGGGGGAUCUGAACUAAGAUAUUGUAACUAAACCCAUGUAUGUCUCUGAGGUCUUUUACAACUCUCCCUUCUUUAGGGAACACUUUGUGGGGCUGUGUCCUAGGCUGAUAGACAUGUGGAUACAUUGGUUUCUUUAUUUCUAUACUAGCAGUGAGGUGGGUGGUGGCAGAGCCCAACAAGCUACAGUCAUUCCCAGCUAGGGUUUUACUUUUCUAAUGAAAUUAGCCUGUGGAUCUUUAAAAAGUAUGAAUAAAAAAAGAGGACAAAAUGGUCAAUUAUUACAAAGGAGUAUAAUGAGACAAAGGUUGUUGUUAAAUCUACUCAACAGUUGGGGCUUAAGAACCAUUUUGUUUAGGGGUACAUGGUCAUUAAGUGUUUGUCCUAUGUUGGUAACUGGUCUCCCAUAGUUGUUCCUAGUUCACUUCAACCCCACGAUCCUAAGCACACCUGUACCUGCCCUGGAAUCCCUCAGCCAUGUUUGUCCCACAGAGCAUCACUAUCAAACAGUUCACUGUGGACUCCUCGUAGCAGAAGUACAGUAGGGGACAGCAAGUGUCAGCUCCAUCAGGACCCCUGAUUUAAUUAUUUACUGUGGAACCAUUGUCCUGAGUCAGGAGGAUAGAUGAGGAAAGAAUGAGAGCGUGGCUGGCAUCGCUUCAUGAUUACAUUCUGGGAAAGAUCUUGCCUGUUAACCUCUAGAGAAGGAGGGACGAUACAGACAAUGAAGACUAUAGCAGACUGAAUUACUCUCUGAGAUGAGGACUUUGCUAUUGCCAUUGCAGAACCACUGGUGGAAGUUGUUGUUAAACAGUGGGUCUUGCAUGCAAGCUCUACAGUUAUGCACAGUAUUUCCAUGACAUCCCAAGCCAUGAGGUUCAUGCUGCCAUAUCCCCCUGUUUAACAAGUGUGGAAACUGAUAAUGGACUCACAAUUGCUGAUGUAUAGGUUCUAAUGUUUUCUAUUGUGGACACGGGACACCCAGACUGAGAACCAAUGGCUCCAGUCUGAUUUAAACAUGGGUCCGUGCUCACACACUCAAUACCUACCCUCUGUGCUCACAAGUCCUGUGUGAGUAAGACUCCAAAUUAUUCUGUCUUGUUUUACUCAAUGGUAUGCUCUACCUUAUUAUAGAGUAUACCAUGUAUUGAGACAAGAAUGCCAGUCAUUCUGAGAAACAAAAUGCAACCAUUAGUUGUCAUUUUAAUUAGUGACGAAUAGUUGUGUCAAUCAUCAAACAUGCUUGUAUAAUUGGAUGAGAAGAGGUGUAACACGGGCCAAUGAUGACGAGGUUUCGGGAUUAUAAGUCACGGACGAUGACUACGUCACUAGAGGUCUGAGGUCCAUAGCAGAAGAUGCCUCAUGUGACCCUCUCAUGCAGGGGUUGCAUGUCAGGCAUGUGCAUACAGUAGAUAUUAGCCAUGCACUCUCACCAUUUCAUAGUAGAUCACAGAAUCAAGAUACAAAUCUCCAUGCACGGAAAGGAUUUAAGGCAUUGAUCAAUCCUGAACAUAAAUAUUUGGCCAUCAAUGAUAUUUACGCACACACUGAAAAAUCUAUUCAGAAUGACUUACACAAAGGUUUAUAUAACCUUUAUCAAAGGUAAUUUAUAUAGUAAGAUUCAUGGCUGAAGUCUUCAUGAUGGUCAAGGCCUUAAUUUUUAAAAUUAUCAAUUUUUUUCUUUUCUUUUUUUUUAACUUGAAUUUUUUUUUAAUGAAAACUAUCAUGACAAUUUGUCUCUUAAAUGAAAGGAGAAAUGUAAAACUAAAUGGACAAAUAUCAACCUUUUUAUUAUCUUUGCUGUUGUGCCCUCCCUGGAUGGGUGCUGGCACAUGAUGUCUUGCCUGCUGGUCCGUGGUUGCACUCUCACCAUGUGGAUGGAGCUCGGCAGCUGAAAAUGCAUUCUUCCACCAAGAUGAUUUACACAGCCUAGCUGGAUCAGGAGCCCCCUAAUAAGCUGCUUCAGAUUGUAAUAUAGACACAGUAAUGUAUGCCUGCAGGAUGAGUCCCACCUUCUUCAUUAGUCUUGAGGUUUGAGAUUCCCUGUUUGUGUCUGCAGGAUUCAGAUAGUAAUGGAUAUCCUGCAAGUCGGCUUCGUAGAGUCUCCCUUGAAAGUGGACCUCAUGAUCUAGCCUUUAUGUCCGUGGAUUGACACUGUGAUGGAUUCCCCCCAAGUUCAUUUAGAUAUUCUCUCUUAUUCAUAAAUGUCACGGUCAGCUCUGUUCUUAUAGAUACCAGAAUGGAUACCCCUAAGCUGAUGUAUAUACACCCUUCCUCGGUUGUGAGAUUCCUGCUCUGGUGGUUGUAGUCAUAAGAUAUACAUCGUUGCGUACACCUUGGUUGUGGGCACGCACACUACUGUUGAAUUACCACCUUGUCCAAGUGGAUGGAUGCCCUCAAUGGGAUUGGCACUUUCUCCAUUGCUCCUGCACUCUG